AUAAGUUCUGUGUAUAACUAUAACUACCUGUGACAAAGAACUAUUAUUCAUGCCAUUAAAAGCAUCUUUGUCAACAAUUGAAGAUCUAUCAUGGUCAAAGAUAAAGUUAACAUGAGGUUAAUACAUAAUAAUAAGAAAGGAAAAAUACAAAUAAGUUUGCAUUCUUAAGAUUUUUGAAGCAUAGGACAGUUCCUUUUGCCAUGUGUUUGUCCAUAUUUUCCACACCGACCUUUGUAUUUUUC
rnacentral:lncRNA from 1 species